rnacentral:rRNA from 1 species
AAAAUUUAUUUUUUUUAUUUUUUAGUAUUGCAUACUAUUAUAAGAAAAUUUUAUUUAUUAUAAAAAAUAGAAACAAGAGGUAAAAAGAUCUUCAGGAUUUUUUGUUACAAAAAUAAUUUUAUUGGGUCUUGGUUUUGAUAAAACGUCUCUUGUGAUAUCUUUUUUAUUUUUUUAUUAUUAGAAAAUUAUAAUUUUUUUUUUNGUUUAAGGGAAAAAUAAAAUUUGAAGUGUUUUAUUUUUAUGUUUUAUAACUUUUUCUCUUUUCUUUUCUUUUUUUUUAUAGUUCUGUCUAUUUUGGACAGAUUCACAAUUUGUGAAUUAGUAGGUUUGUUAAAUUCGGUUUUUUAUUCAAAUUUUAAUUUGAGAACUUGGCUUCUUGAUCAAAUGUUUUUUAAAGACUUAGGUUUUUAUAUAAAACUUGCUUCUGCCCUAUGAUUUUAAAUGGCAGUCUUAGCGUGAGGACAUUAAGGUAGCAAAAUAAUUUGUGCUUUUAUUGGGUUCCAGUAUGAAUGAAGUUAUUGGUUAGUUAUAUUCUCUUAUUUUAACUGAACUUAAUUUUUAUUUAAUAAAAAAUAAUUGUAAUUGAACAAAGAUAAGUCUUCGGAAAUUUUUUUUGUGCUAUUUCUUUUGUUUUGGCAUAAAGUUUUCUAGGGCAGAAAUUUAUAUAAUUAUUUUUACUAAAAAUAAUUUAACAAAUUACUCCGGAGUUAACAGAAAAUCAUAUUUUAUCCAGUUCUUAUGGUAAUAAUAAGUUUUACAUCGAUGUUGUAUUCCUAUAAGCUAAAAGAGGAGAAGAUUUAGUUUUUGAGACUGUUCUUCUUUUAAUUAAUAGGACUUGAUAUUAGUUUAAUUCAUUGCGAGAUAGAAUGUUUAUCUUGUUAAUUACUCUGAUUAAGUAUAUUUAUUAAAAGGAAAGCAUGA